rnacentral:rRNA from 1 species
UACGUAGGGGGCAAGCGUUGUCCGGAUUUAUUGGGCGUAAAGAGCGUGUAGGCGGCCAGGUAGGUCUGCUGUGAAAACUCGAGGCUUAACCUCGAGCUGUCGGCGGAAACCAUCUGGCUAGAGUCCGGAAGAGGAGAAUGGAAUUCCCGGUGUAGCGGUGAAAUGCGUAGAGAUCAUGAGGAAGACCAGUGGCGAAGGCGGGUCUCUGGACAGUUCCUGACACUGAGACACGAAGGCCAGGGGAGCAAACGGG